rnacentral:rRNA from 1 species
AUACGUAGGGGACAAGCGUUGUCCGGAAUGACUGGGCGUAAAGGGCGCGUAGGCGGUCUAUUAAGUCUGAUGUGAAAGGUACCGGCUCAACCGGUGAAGUGCAUUGGAAACUGGUAGACUUGAGUAUUGGAGAGGCAAGUGGAAUUCCUAGUGUAGCGGUGAAAUGCGUAGAUAUUAGGAGGAACACCAGUGGCGAAGGCGGCUUGCUGGACAAAUACUGACGCUGAGGUGCGAAAGCGUGGGGAGC